AGAAUAUGAUUUCAUUUUGGUGUAGCUAUACCAAACGUAGCUAGUAGCCCUUAAUAGUUUCUUUUGUCUAGUCAACUCACUCAUUUAUUAGUUAAUACAUAGGAUUUUAUUGCUAUUUGACGUAUCAACACCAAAAUGUGACUAGCAGCCCUUGAGAAUCUCUUCUGACGAGUGAAAUUAUGAAGAAUUCGUGUAAGUAACAACAACCUGCUCUUGGGAAUUCAUUUCUUUGAAGGAAGAAAAACAUUAUUUCCAACAAUAUUAUGGAAGCAGCAACGUGAAUUAAUGUAGCAGCAACGUGAUUUCCUUUUUAAGGAAGAAAAGUAUACUGCAUUUCAAGAACAAUAUUCGGGUUUUGCUCACCGCUUCGAUCUCGUUGUUUAUGUUGUUAAAUUCGGGCUUCCUUCGAAAUGAAGUAAGGUGGAAGAAGAGUACUUAUUUGCAUAUAAGACCUGCGAGCUCGAGAAGUAGACGUUGGACAUUAGAUAGAGUUCAAGGUAGAUAGGGAGGUGAGCUUGAUCCAGAUUCUUAGUAGUUGUCAGCUGAUUGAGAGCACUCCAUUGUUCGGAGGUGCUUAUGUUUAUUCUUUUGGCUCCUUUAUGUAUUUCGCGCACGACAGAGUCUUGUUCCGUCUAUAUGUAUAAUAUGUCAGUAGAGGCUCAUAGACGCGCAGUGUGGGUUAGAUGGUCUCACAAGAUUACUAUGUUAUAUUUGUAUAUGUUAUUUUGAUGGCCUAAGGGGCACAUGUAU